GGACAGUUAGCUCAGUUGGUAGAGCAACGCGUUUACACCGCGUAGGUCGGGAGUUCGAGCCUCUCACUGUCCACCA
rnacentral:tRNA from 1 species